UAACCUGCCCAAGAGAUCGGGAUAACACCUGGAAACAGAUGCUAAUACCGGAUAACAACAGAUGAUGCCUAUCAACUGUUUAAAAGAUGGUUCUGCUAUCACUCUUGGAUGGACCUGCGGUGCAUUAGCUAGUUGGUAGGGUAACGGCCUACCAAGGCGAUGAUGCAUAGCCGAGUUGAGAGACUGAUCGGCCACAUUGGGACUGAGACACGGCCCAAACUCCUACGGAGGCAGCAGAA
rnacentral:rRNA from 1 species